rnacentral:rRNA from 1 species
AGGCCACUCUGCCGCAGCCAUGCCGCGUGCAGGAAGAAGGCGCUAUGCGUUGUAAACUGCUUUUGAUCGGGAAGAAACCCCGGGACGUGUCCUGGKUCUGACGGUACCGACGGAAUAAGCACCGGCUAACUUCGUGCCAGCAGCCGCGGUAAUACGAAGGAUGCRAGCGUUAUCCGGAAUCAUUGGGUMUAAAGGGUGCGUAGGCGGCACCAAUURUUCAGCAGUGAAAGCCUGCUGACUCCCUGUAGAAUUGCCGUUGAUACUGUUGUUCUUGAGUACGUUUGACGUGGGCGGAAUGUGGCCGUGUAGCGGUGAAAUGCUUAGAUAUGGCACAGAACACCGAUAGSGAAGACASSUCACUAAGACGAAACUGACGCUGAGGCACGAAAGCGUGGGGAUCRAACAGGAUUAGAUACCCUGGUAGUCCACGCCGUAAACGAUGAUCACUCGUGGUUGGCGAUAUACGGUCAGUCACCUAGCGAAAGCGUUAAGUGAUCCACCUGGG